CAUUUUACAUGACUAAACUGAAGGGUAUUGUAAGAAGAUUAGAAUUAAUCAACUAAACAUUGCAGCAAAAUCAGGGAAGAGUAAGGCAGUGUGCUCUAACCACAUACAGACUACAGGUGGACGAAAUAUACUCCGUAUUUAGGAAAGAAGUAGGGACAAACUACGACAAAUACGACGAGACAGAAAUUAAAUUUUACAAUAAUAUCAUUCAAAAUUUAAUCACUAACAUAAUCGAAAGAAUUAACAAAGAGACAACUAACAACUCAGACGAUUUAAACGAGACUUUGAAAACAAAUAUACAUUCCGUGUUUCCGACAUUCCGUGCAGAAAUAUACAAAUAUUUCCGACAUUCCGUGCUCAAAGGCAACAAAGUAAGACCUACACAAACUUAAAAACCAAAAGAUAUUGUGGAUAUCAUAAGCGUAGGAGAAGGAACAAUAACAACUCAUGGGUCCACAAUUACGGAUGUAAUAGUGGAGGGAAAGACAAUCGAACAAUUAUUUCACAUCGUACCAGACAACUUCAAGAUACCGGCAGAUGGUAUACUUGGUAGAGAUUUUUUUAUGGAUCACCGAUGUAUAAUAAAUUAUGAUACUUUGAUUUUCUCUGUAAAACACGAUGGAGAGUUUUUGGAAACACUCAUUGAAGAUACUAUCAAUGGCAAAACACUCAUACCUCCCAGAUGUGAAGUAAUUAGAAAACUAGAUAAGUUAAAAGAAUUAGAUACGGAUGCGGUAGUAUGCGCAGAGCAACUGCAAGAAGACAUUCUUGUAGGAAACUGCAUUGUAAAUAAAAACUACCCAUUUAUUAAAAUAAUCAAUACUUCUAAUAAAGCUAAAUUAGUAAACAUAAGCCAUAUCAAAACAAUACCUUUAAAUGAAUUUGAAAUCGUAAAAACUAAUAAUCAUAAGAAUGAAAAUAGGUUAGCAAUCAUAAAGAAAUUAAUCCGAAAGGAAAACAUUUCCGAAGAUACAGAUACAUCUUUUGAACAAUUACUGUUAAGCUACAAUGAUAUUUUCACCUAUCUAAUGAUCAUUUAACUACAAAUAAUUUUUAUAAACAAGAUAUUAAAUUAGAAGAUAAAAGACCCGUGUACAUACCGAAUUAUAAACAAAAUCAUUCCCAAGGACCAGAAAUCAAAAAGCAAAUUGAAAAAAUGCUUCAAGAUGAUAUAAUAGAACACUCGGUGUCACUAAAAGAGAAAAGAUCUGUGUGUCAGUGUCGGAAGUUCUUUUUUUUCCUCGUCUUCAAAAGGGUGUACUGCCAGCGCGUUGGCAACGGACUCGAUCUAUCGUCUGAUCGAGCCAAAAAAGGUUUUGUAAACGCCUCGAAGUUUUACAGAUAUGCUACAGCAUUGUCCUAUAAUUUUGAUACUAGUGUAGCGGGCGAGAAUUCUUUCGAACGACGAACGACAAAGAAAAGGGGACUAUGAAAGUUAGGUGAAGUAUGGCCACGAUCGAACUCUCGAUCGCGCUUUUAUUAUGUGCUAAAUUUGGGACACGGACGAGGGGGUGAGGCGGGUUCUGGAUCGGGCUGCGUACAUCGUCGUCGUCAGCAAGUUGGGUUGGUGGAGGUUCGACGCUCGGGCGGAUCAUUCGGAGGGGAAGGCAUCGAGUGACCGAUCGUUGGCAUGUUCUGAUUCUGGUUGCGCCAUGAGGUGUCGUCAGCAAGUUGGGUUGGUGGAGGUUCGAAGCACGGGCGGAUCAUUCGGUGGGGAAGGCAUCGCGUAACCGAUCGUUUCACUGUCGGUGCCGUUCUGUCAGUUCGGUCAUCGGUGGUCGGCCGGGUUUCAGGUGUGCGUUGAACCCCACGCUAUGAGGUAACUAUGCUGACAGUGUAUAGUUGCCAUUCUGCCAGUUCAACGUUGGUCAUUGGUGGUCGGCCGGGUUUCAGGUGUGCGUUGAACCCCACGCUAUGAGGUAGCUAUGCUGACCGUUGGCUCUGGGUUCCAGGUUCGUCUUUGGACAGCACGCGAGGCACGUGUCGUGGGUGGUAUAAUGUCAUUGGAAGCGACAAGAAACAAAAAGGGUCGCUUCACUAGAAAAGGUUUAACUCGGCUUAGAUCUUUGUUAGACGUUGUUGCUUCCUUCCAAUACUAUAAUGCCUAUACUUCCAUUUUCCUUUCCUUUAAUUCCUAUCAGAACGAAAUUAUGAGAAAAAAACCUUCUGCAAUGCAUGUCAUUAUUCUUGACCCAUUUUCUUGAAAAAAAGUGUUCGAUUGUUUAGUCUUUUCUUUUUCGAAAACUCGUAUUGGAACGAUUUUUGAUUGGUUUGUGUUGGUACAUCCAGUUUUUUCCCCCAAAAUAAGCCAAUUUCAUCACAAUAAAAACAAUGUAUUGGCAUCAAAUCUACAACACUGGCACAGCACAUUUGUCAUCAAAGAAUCUCGUCCAAUUGGCAGUAAUUGGCAGGAGAAACUCUCCCCUUCAUGAUCAAGUAUAUGCAGAAAAGCGUGCAAGAAACACUUGUCAAUAUAUACCACACACUUUUGCAUACGACUCUGUUCCAACUGGCAAUAGUUUUCUACUAAAUGAUGAUAAGUAUCUUAACUAUUAUUUGCCUGAGCGAAAAUCAAAAUUAAAGUAAUGCUCAAUGCAAACCGCACGUGAUCCUGAUUUCACAUCGGCACCGAAUAUGUGCCAUAGACACAAAUUAUAUUGCUCGUAAUGCAAAAAGAAAAAAAAACUCGUUAUGAGCGGUUCUAUUGUUUUUUUUUUACAAUAUUUGGCGAAUGCGACAUUUUAGUUUGAUAAAUUAUAUUAAAUACAAUUUCCAUUGAUUCUCUUGAAAAAUCAACAUAGUCAUUUUUAUCUGUACUCAAAGUAAUAAAACCUAGCACCAAGGAAACGCUGUGCAAGCAUACGUAACAUAUUGAAGGUUCAUAUGUGUAGCAAAGUGCAGCUGAGCAAACUUUGCAACAGGAAAAUUAAUCAAACAAUUCAGCACAGCCGAAACACCAUCUCGUUUAGGACCAUUAUCGCUAUCCUAAAUAAACGAUAACCUCUUUAAGAAGCGAAAAACGAAAUAAUCAUAACAUAUUCUGCAUACGCGCACAACCUGGUGCAAUACAUAUAGCGUUCGUGGUGCAAGCGCAACCAAAUGCGCAAGAAUGUCAAAUUAUAAUGCGGGCUACACCCGCACGCCCUAGGUACGAAAUCAGUUGAAAUAACUAAACACCAAUGAAUAUCCAUAUAUUGGAAAGAAUCGAGAGUUGGCAAAUGCAGAUACACAUGAGCAUAAUGUCAAAUAGUUGCCAAAAAAGAACGAUAGCCAACAGGAAAUGCGUUCCGACGCUUUAGGUGCAUUUCCAUAGAUAGGUAGGACAGGUAGGACAGGUACAUAGACUGUUAGAAUAAUUAGUUUAUAAGAAAAUAUUGUAGAAAUAAUGUCAAUAUAAAAAAAAUAACAGUCAAAUGACAGUGCGUAACGACACUUGUUAACAAGCGUAGUUCAGUGCUUUGUCAUCAUAACUACGAUCAAAGAUACCGUUGAUCGGUUUUCAGAAUCGGUAAUAAAAUUGUCAUGCAGUUGAAAGUUCAAACAUUACGUGCGUGUGUUAUAAUCAUUUCGCCUUUACACUUAAAAUGUGUUUCAUUAUGUUUUCCGAUGACGACGAAAUACAGGAAAAAAGAUUUGCGUAAAAAACGUAGAGUUUUACGGAAAAAAGCAGAUCCUUUUAAACUAUCAGACAACAGCGUAAGUAAAAUAAAAUGGUGUUUGAUUAAAAUUUUAAUUUCUUCGUUUAUUUGUAGGUUUCUUCAAUGUUCCAGGGUUACAAAACCAAUUUUUUCGUUUAUUUGCUGCUUGUUUGAUUUUCUUUGCAGAGGGUAGAUAUCAGCACGGAACUGGACAAGACUUCCACGUAGCCACAAACAACGUUUUCAAACACUGCGAGAUUUGAUACCACCUCAUAUCACACUAUUGGGCGAUUGGAUACAAUUGAAUAUGACAGAAUCUGAAAGAAUGGAGGCAAAACAAUAUUUCUUUGAAAGGUCGGGAAUAUCAGACGUGGUGAUGUGUGUAGAUGGGGCCCACAUAAGGAUAGUAAAACCCAAAUAUCGCCCCCUUUGCUAUAUCAAUAGAAAACAAUAUUACAGCCUCAAUGCUAUGAUUGUUUGUGAUCACAAAUAUCGCAUCAGAGCUGCGGACGCUAGAUUUGCAGGAUCUCAUCAUGACGCUUUUACUUGGAGUAUUAGUCCCAUUCGCAAACAUUUUAGAGAUCUACAUAAUAACUUCUGGAAUAACUGACAAGUUGUUGGGAGAUGCAGGGUAUCCUUCCGAAACAUGGCUUAUAACAACCAAUCGUAACCCAGAUUCAGGCACACAAGAAUCUAUUUUUAAUAUAUUUUAUGCCAGAGGACGAAACAUCGUUGAGAGAACAAUAGGAAUACUGAAAUCCAAAUUUAGAUGCUUGCUUGGAACAGAUGGGCGUCUCAAUUAUUCGCCAAAAAAGUGCACAAAUGUUAUAAACAUAUGUUGUGCACUACACAACAUAUGUAUAGAAAACAACAUUGGUUGGCAGCAGAAUCUUGAUGAAAUGUGUUUGUUUAUAAAUGAUUAAAUUAAAAACGAUAUAAUAAAAAAAACAUUAAUCCCAGCAUAAAUAUUCUAAUGUUUUCAUAUGCUUCAUGUAUCGUAAAUGUUGGGAACUAAAACCAAGGCGGAUUAAAUUUCUUGCCAAAACUAUUUAUUACACGCGCCAAAAAAAUUGUCGGUUUUCCGCGGUUGGUUUAGAACAGGGGCUCGUUCCUGUCUUGCGGCCUUUUGAAACCCUUUUCUUCGGUUACGCUUCGUGCCUUGAUCGUUUCACGCCUACGCUUGUUGUAAAUGUCCCGUUUAUGACAGGUAGUUGGAUAC